rnacentral:rRNA from 1 species
GAUGAACGCUAGCGGCAGGCCUAAUACAUGCAAGUCGAGGGGUAAAUAUGUAGCAAUAUAUAUGAGACCGGCGCACGGGUGCGUAACACGUAUGCAACCUACCUUUUACUGGGGAAUAGCUCAGAGAAAUCUGAAUUAAUACCCCAUAACACUGCAGAAUGGCAUCAUUUUGCAUUUAAAGCUCCGGCGGUAAAAGAUGGGCAUGCGGAACAUUAGCUAGUUGGUGAGGUAAUGGCUCACCAAGGCUACGAUGUUUAGGGGGUCUGAGAGGAUGCUCCCCCGCACUGGUACUACGACACGGACCAGACUCCUACGGGAAGCAGCAGAUAGUAAUAUUGGGGAAGGGACGUAAGUCUGACCUAUCCAGGCCGUGUACAGGAUGAAUGUCCUAUGAAUUGUAAUCUGCUUUUAUAUGGGAAGUAACGCCUGGAUGCAUCCGGGGCGGACGGUACCAUUUGAAUAAGGAUCGGCUAACUUCGUGCCAGCCGCCGCCGUAACAC